UCACUUUUGAUUUUUGUGCCCGGCUCAGU
rnacentral:piRNA from 1 species